CUAGCCUAUCUAAAAUGUUAUUGCAGAACCAAAUGGCCCUAGACAUGUUAUUGGCUUCACAAGGAGGGGUCUGUUCCAUAAUCAAUGAAAGUUGCUGUUCCUAUAUAGAUCAAAGUGGAAGGAUUGAAACGGAUCUGGAGGAAAUUUGGAAACAAACAAAGAUAUUUCAUGAAAUGGCCAAGGCUGAUACCUCCUGGGGGUUUGAAGAGAUAUGGAAAAAGUUAACCUCAUGGUUACCUAAUCUCUCCUGGUUAAGGCAACUGGUUGCAGGAAUAUUAAUAUUAAUUGUUUUAAUAUUGAUUACUUGUGCUAUGAUACAAUUUUCUGGUAUUGUAAACUAUCUAUGAUAAGUUAUGAAGAUUGGAAAAGAAAUGAAAUCAAGCAUCAAGUAGAAACAGGAAACUAUUUCAGAAAGACUCUAGAUGGUAAUGGUAGUAUAAAAUGUUGCAAAAGAAUUUGCAAAAGGACAGAAAAAAAGGGGGGAUUUGAGACAAGGAGGCACAAAAGCACAAAAUGAAAUACAAACCUUUGUAAAUAAGCAUAAUCAGUUCUAAGUAAAGUUAAGUUUGAUGGUUUUGUAACAGUAGCAAUGGAAAAUAACUGAGGUACAUGUUUCACAGAAAAAAAAUAGAGUGCAGCUAGAGAACAUAAUGAGAAUCCUUGUAUAAGAUAAACCACUGUAGCUGGCAUAGUUUUAGGUCCUUAGGACCUUAGUACAAAAGCAGGCGUAAGAAAAGCAGGAUAGAAAAACAGGACGUGUAGAUAAAGAGUAGCUGAAACUAGCAGAUGUCCAGGAUGGGCUGCAGCUAAGCUAAAUGAUAAGUGGAAGGACAAGAUGAUUAUGUCUGCAGUGUUACCAAACCAAUUAAGCUAGUGUAAGCAUUAUCUACAGCACAUGCUUCAAAGACUGCCAGAAGUGAUGAAGAUUGUUGGAAGAAGUAAACAACCCCCAAAGACCACCACUGCAUUUUUGUAUGCAUGCGGGGAAACUUUCUAGAAGAAUGUUGUAAUACAUAAGUAGCCUCAUGAAUAUGCAUGUAUGUACAUAACGAAUAUGCAUGCUUAGUGACUAUAUAAGGAUGGUUUGUUUAGCAAUUUGGAGAGACACACUAGGAGGACCUAUCCCCUGUGUCUCUUGGCGCUGCAAUAAAGAAUACCUGCUUGUCAAUUUAAAA